GGAGGCCGGUGGGCGGCUCGGCAGUGGCCUCGGGGGACGACUCGGGGACGCCCGGGGACCCCGGGUCCUCCGCUCCCGCCGCCGCUUCGCCCGCCCCGGCCCCGGCCGCCGCCGCCGCCUCACCCUCGGCCGCCUGCAAAGUCUGCAAGAGCUGGCGCGCUUCCUCCUCCUCCUCUUCGGUCGCCGCCGCCGCAGCCGCCUCCCCCCCGACCGCCGGCCCCGCGCUCGGCUCCGCAGGCAAGGCUCAGGGCCUCAGUUUCCCCAUCGGGACAACGGAGAAGGUAACGGGCCGUCCAGGAGGGCUAAGGGCGCGAAACCACCUCCACCCCGGGACUGAGCUUCUGCACGCCUCCGUCUCCAGGGUCCUCUGCUGGCCCCCCCAUUCCCCAUCUCGGCCUGCGCUCCGCCCCUCGGAAUUCCCGGCUCCGCAGGGGGGCGGGUCUGGCCGGGAGGAGGGGCGGGAGAAGCGAGCUAGAAAGUUUGCAGCAACUUUUCUGAGCCUACGUUCCAGGAGCGGAUACGCGUGGCUUGCGCAGGCGCAGUGGGAAGACGAUGGCCGCGCGCGCUGCCGGCCCAGCCCCCUUCUCCACGCGCGGUGGCACAGCUGGGCCACAGCUGGGCAGGGGGGCGGUGCCUCCGGGGUGGCCGGACGCCGAAGCCCCGCCCCUCAGUUUUCCCUCUCCCCAUCCCUGAUUCGUCAGCCUUGAGUCCCGCGAGCUCCCCGCCAGGUCAUUGGCCGCCUCCACUCGCCUUCCGAUUGGCCAGUGAGCAGCCUCCCCACAACGCAAACAGAGCGGACACCUAGGAGUCCGGAGGUUUAGGCAGUGGGGAGGGCCUUUUAUUCGCGAGGGUCGGGCGUGGGGUACUAGGUGGGGAGAGACAAUAAAUACCGAGGAAUGUCGGGGGUCUCAGUGCAUCCAAAACGUGGAUUGGGGUGUUGGGGUCCUGGAGCCUGUCAGCGAGUCGGAGGACAAGACAAGAUCAAUAAAUAUCCAAACCUCUGAGGCGGCAGGAGCCAGCUGUGGCUCCGAGUAGCGCAUGUGAGCAGGGGGCGCGGGAGUCCCCGAAAAAGCGGGGCUGGCAAAAGAAAGCGGACAGAGGUCGCGCCGAACCUUCGCCACGGAAAUAAAACGUUCCCCGGCGAGCAGGGCCGCAUGCACAAGGAGGAUUUGCGAACUGACGGCGGGUGGGAGUGCGUGGAGAGUGAAAAAUGGAUGGCCAAGCCUGGCCUGCUGCCUGCUCAGGACCGCAGUUUACUCAUCCACGUCAGGGCCUCAGCCCGGCCGGAGGGAAGAAGUGGUCUGCGAUCCCACCCUGCAGCAGCAGCAGCAGCAGCGGCAUUCCCGGGUACAAAGCCCCCACGAGCCCCAUUUGCCGGCCGCGGACCCGGCUCCUCCCUCCCCGGCCGCCAGGGGGCGGGCCCGGAUCAUAGGGUAGGAGCUGGAGCGAAGACCCACGCACGCGGGUGUGGACGGGGCUGCGGUGGGGAGCAGCUUCUGUGUAGUGUCCGGGCCACCCAACCCUUCAACGGGCCCCGAGUGGAGGGCAGUCUGGGGCUCUAGGGUUCAGGGGGCGAAGGCGACUCCCGGGCAGCGCCAGGGCGGGGCGAGAUAGCCGGCGUAGGCCGCCAACCCAGCGCAGCCCAAGGCGGCGGCAAGAGCCAGAGCAGCGGCGAACAGGAGCAGGGAAAGCGCCUCCGAUAGGCCAGGCCUAGGGACCUGCGGGCGAGAGGGCGGGAUCAGCACCCGGUGACGUGGGCCUCUGAUUGGCUCCAGGACUCGCCCCGCCUACACCCAAAAGUGGAUCCACAAUCCUCCCUGCACCCCGCCCCCGGCCCAGGCCCCAGCAGCCGGCAACUGUGGUUGGUUUGCUCUCAAGCCUCAAAUCCUGUACGAACUCGCCGUUGGCUGCUCCCUAGCGGCCUCUGUUGAUUGGCUGCCCGAGCUUUCUCCCUCCCCGCGGUGGGCGGAGCCCGACAGAGCUGCCUCAAAGCAGUGACGGCGCGGGGUGGGUGGAGCGAGGCGGGCGGGCGUGCGUGGGCAGCCGGACGUACCCUGGCAGGGAACAGCAGGUGGCGGCGGUGCAUGGGGCCUGGCCCCACCAGCGGGCACUGGCCCAGAGCCACGGCCGUGGGGCCAUCUAGCUGGAGAGAGAAGGGACAGGUGACCCGAUCGGAGCCCAGCCCAGCCCUUGGCAGGGCGCGAGAGACAGUAAGGGGAGUCUAGGCCCGGGAGGGCAUCUAGGGAGAUCCCGGAGGGGAUGUGGUGAGAGACCUCGACCGAGAGAGAUCUGGGGCUGAAUGAAGGGCUUCUGCCCUCUGGAGCCACAAAGAGGUGUCCACACCCCCGCCGAACAGCUGGCCCACCUCCUCCUGGUGCCCUCGGGGACGGGGGCGGAAGAAGGACUCGCCUGCGGCUCCCUGGGCCUGAAGCAACUCCAUCUGCUCCUGCAGCUGCCGGACGUGUGCCUCCAGGUCACGGUUCCGGGCCUCGGCUUCCCGUAGUUGACUGCAGGGAGGGUCUUGCUAUGUUGCCUGGGCUGGUCUCAAACUCCUGGCCUCAAGUGAUCCUCCUGCCCUGGCCUCCCAAAGUGCUGACAUUAUAGGCAUGAACCACCAAACCUGGCUCCUGACCCGUAUUUUCUAAUUUACUUGUGAUAAGCAAUACAUUAUUUAUAUAAUUAAUAUUUUUAAAGGCCUUAGUGUUAUACGACUGAC